rnacentral:rRNA from 1 species
AACCUUCACAAUGCACGAAAGUGUGAUGAGGGGACUCCAAGUGAUUACUUACGUAAUCUUUUUCGAAGUCUAAAAAGCUUCGGGAAUAAGAGCUGGGUAAGACCCGUGCCAGCCGCCGCGGUAAUACGGGCAGCUCUAGUGGCGUUCGCGUAUAUUGGGCCUAAAGCGUUCGUAGCCGGUUUUACAAGUUGUUGGUGAAAGCUUGCGACUUAAUCGUGAGAAUUGCCAACGAAACUGUAAGACUUGGAGCCGGGAUGGGUCGGAGGUAUUCUUGGGGUAGGAGUGAAAUCCUGUAAUCCCAAGAGGACCAUCGGUGGCGAAGGCGUCCGACUGGAACGGGCUCGACGGUGAGGAACGAAAGCUAGGGGAGCGACCCGGAUUAGAUACCCGGUUAGUCCUAGCCGUAAAUGAUGCUAGUUUGGUGUUGCGCAUUCUUAGAGUGUGCGCAGUAUCGUAGCGAAGGCGUUAAGCUCGCCGCCUGGGAAGUAUGUCGCAAGACU